CUGACGACCUACUUGCUGUUGUCAAAAAUUAUAUUUCCUUUCAACUACAAAGAGCUUGAAAAAGACCUUUGGGCAACAACUUGGAAAUGAUUGUUGAAAAGGUAAACAUACUUUAAUUUCAUGAAUGGUUGGAGCUUCCCCAUACUCAGCAGCAACACGUGACUGAUUCACUUUUGUCCGCUGCAUGGGCUUUCAGAGCAAAUCCUGACGGCAGAAGUGAGCGCUCACAGGCUCCUGUGACGCAGGCUCUGUCUCCUCCCACGUGUGUGAGGGGCUUCGUAAGGAACGCGGGGCUUCGUAAGGAACGCGGGGCUUCGUAAGGAACGCGGCGCUUCCAUUUGGGGCAAACUUCUCACCCCAUAUUCUAGAAAAAUCUACCUAAGUGAAGCAUCAGCAUUAAAAACAAACAUAUUAACAUUGCACUUGGACUAUCUAUGUGGUAAGGAAUCCAGUGGAUCUGGAACUCAUUACUUUGAUGGGAUAUCUUUAUUAAUGGAUUUCUUUUC
rnacentral:lncRNA from 1 species